AACGAACGCUGGCGGCAGGCUUAACACAUGCAAGUCGAACGGUUGUAGCAAUACAGCAGUGGCGCACGGGUGAGUAACGCGUGGAUAUCUGCCUUUUGGUUCGGAAUAACUCCGGGAAACUGGAGCUAAUACCGGAUGGUUCCUACGGGAUAAAGAUUUAUCGCCAAAAGAUGAGUCCGCGUACGAUUAGCUAGUUGGUGAGGUAAUGGCUCACCAAGGCGACGAUCGUUAGCUGGUCUGAGAGGACGAUCAGCCACACUGGGACUGAGACACGGCCCAGACUCCUACGGGAGGCAGCAGUGGGGAAUAUUGGACAAUGGGGGCAACCCUGAUCCAGCCAUGCCGCGUGAGUGAUGUAGGCCUUCGGGUUGUAAAGCUCUUUUGGCGGGGACGAUGAUGACGGUACCCGCAGAAUAAGCCCCGGCUAACUUCGUGCCAGCCGCCGCCGUAAUAC
rnacentral:rRNA from 1 species